AGUGAACGCUGGCGGUAGGCCUAACACAUGCAAGUCGAACGGCAGCACAGUAAGAGCUUGCUCUUACGGGUGGCGAGUGGCGGACGGGUGAGGAAUACAUCGGAAUCUACUUUUUCGUGGGGGAUAACGUAGGGAAACUUACGCUAAUACCGCAUACGACCUACGGGUGAAAGCAGGGGAUCUUCGGACCUUGCGCGAUUGAAUGAGCCGAUGUCGGAUUAGCUAGUUGGCGGGGUAAAGGCCCACCAAGGCGACGAUCCGUAGCUGGUCUGAGAGGAUGAUCAGCCACAAUGGAACUGAGACACGGUCCAGACUCCUACGGGAGGCAGCAGUGGGGAAUAUUGGACAAUGGGCGCAAGCCUGAUCCAGCCAUACCGCGUGGGUGAAGAAGGCCUUAGGGUUGUAAAGCCCUUUUGUUGGGAAAGAAAAGCAGCAGGUUAAUACCCCGCUGUUCUGACGGUACCCAAAGAAUAAGCACCGGCUAACUUCGUG
rnacentral:rRNA from 1 species